GAUGAAGAACGCAGUGAAAUGCGAUAAGUAGUGUGAAUUGCAGAAUUCAGUGAAUCAUCGAAUCUUUGAACGCACAUUGCGCCCCUUGGUAUUCCAUGGGGCAUGCCUGUUCGAGCGUCAUUUGUACCUUCAAGCUCUGCUUGGUGUUGGGUGUUUGUCUCGCCUCUGCGUGUAGACUCGCCUCAAAACAAUUGGCAGCCGGCAUAUUGAUUUCGGAGCGCAGUACAUCUCGCGCUUUGCACUCAUAACGACGACGUCCAAAAGUACAUUUUUACACUCUUGACCUCGGAUCAGGUAGGGAUACCCGCUGAACUUAAGCAUAUCAAUAAGCGGAGGA
rnacentral:misc_RNA from 1 species